GCCAAAGAAUAAGAAAUGUUCGUGCAAUUGCGAUGUGGAAACUAAAAAUGAAAAAUUGAAGGAAAACACUAAAUAAGCCUGCUGGAGGUCAGUGCAGAAGAAAAAGGACGCCUAAUCCAAGCUGUUGCCUUUUAUUGUGGGACUUCACCGACAGGAAGCAAGAUCCACUAGAGGAUCCCAGUGGGAUUGCGCUCUCUACAUGGAGACUCUACCAAGCGUGUCCUUGCAAACACAACCCCGAAACAUUCUCCGACGAGCUCUCCAAUGGGGAACCACAGGACUCCACCUCCAUCAGCUACUUGGUAGCUAAAGCGGUGAUGGCGGACGCGCUGGGUUCUAAAGGGACGAGAAAAAAGGGGGGAAGCUGGAGGAGCCAUUACCAGCCAUUGUCUGAAUGAUGGUCGACUUCCUGCAGUAUCAGGCGGAACCACCCCGUUCCCAAUCCGGCUCCUACUUCCUCAACGUCCAAUAUCCCUAUUGGAACUCGGAGCUGGACUGCAGAUGUCGAAGUAUCCGCGGGACGAGAAGGAAGCUUUAUAUUUCUAAAAUACAUGAAUAAAAACAUUCGCUGAA